ensembl:lncRNA
GAGAGAGUGAGCCUGGCACCCGCAAUACUCUGGUUUCCAGAAGGAAUCACAAAUCCCCUUCCUGUGCAGAUAAAGGAACAAUUGUACCACGGGAGAACUUACUGGAAAGUAACGCAGGGUCACCAGGAAGGAAAAGGAAUUCACUCCUUGGUCAGAGUCCUUCGUCUGGGUUGGGAGUCGCUCAGACUUGGAAAGCAACCCUCUGAAUCAGAUGAUGUUAAUAUCUUCAUUCUCAAGGAGAGGCUCUAAGAAGUUAAAUAACCUGUCAACAGUCACAAAGCGACUGUGUGGCAGAAUCAAGAGGAUACUUCCUAGCAAUCAAGAUAUAUGAGGAUGCUGUGAAAGUGCUGCACUCAAUAUGCCAGCAAAUUUGGAAAACUCAGCAGUGGCCACAGGACUGGAAAAGGGCAGUUUUCAUUCUAAUCCCACAGAAAGGCAAUGCCAAAGAAUGCUCAAACUGCUGCACAAUUGCACUCAUCUCACAUACUAGUAAAGUAAUGCUUAAAAUUCUCCAAGCCAGGCUUCAGCAGUACAUGAACCGUGAACUCCCAGAUGUUCAAGCUGGUUUUAGAAAAGGCAGAGGAACCAGAGACCAAAUUGCCAAC